ACACGACUACAUUAGAUACCCGUGUAGUCCCAGCCCUAAACGAUGCGCGUUAGGUGUAUCGGUGACCACGAGUCACCGAGGUGCCGAAGGGAAACCGUGAAACGUGCCGCCUGGGAAGUACGGUCGCAAGGCUGAAACUUAAAGGAAUCGGCGGGGGAGCACCACAACGGGUGGAGCUUGCGGUUUAAUUGGAUUCAACGCCGGAAAUCUUACCGGGACCGACAGCAACAUGAAGGCCAGGCUGAAGACUUUGCCGGAUUAGCUG
rnacentral:rRNA from 1 species